rnacentral:lncRNA from 1 species
CGCGUUGUGUCCUUCUGGGGAAGAGAAAGGGGUCGCCUGGAGCCAGCAGUUUCCAACUUCCUGGGGGCCAUUUGGAGUUCGGUAAGAGCUGGGAAGAAUGCACUGAAAAGGAAGGCUGGAAAGAAACAGCUCUUCACCUGAAAAAUGUUUGCUUUGCCUCAGUUGAGAAUUCUUUCGUUGAGAAAGAGAAUUAUCACGUUACCAUAUUAACCAAAGGAGAGGUGGACGUGACUCAUGAUUCAGAACCACAGAAUGUGGAACCUGAAAAAAAAUGAAAGUUGGGACUGGGUUCCUUGGGAAGAAUUUCCUCUACUAGAUCAGCUUUUCU